UCACCAUUCUUCAUAUGUGCAACAAAAUCUAAAAGCUCUUUAGUUGCCCAUUCUUUGCUUUCGUUAGCACCCGGUUUUUUCGUAAUUACAGUUUCCUUUUGGAUGUGUUCAUCUGUCUUUUGUCUUUUAGAUUCACUUGUCUCGAGAUUUUGAGGGGAAAUCUCAGGUGUAAGGCUUUUAAGAUCAUUGUCCCCAUUGUGUACACAUGUUGAUUGGCUAACUAAAGGGGUUGUUGUAUUAGCUCGUUUCCAUGGAUUUGUAGCUUGAGUAAGCUCAUCAAGAGUCAAAGAUAAUUUCCCUUUUAAAUAUAUCCAAUACACCUUAAAAAGAUACUCCCAACUAGUUUUGUCAUCAAAAUCCACCUGAGCCUGAAAAAAAAAAUUGUAAUUCUUGAAUUUAACCCAUUUUAGCAAGUAUUAUGGAGAUAUGAUGCUGCAUAGUGCAUACCUUCUCAUCCUUUUCUUGUCCAUUGUUUUCAAUCAGCAUGAUUGUUUUCAUGCACGUUGUGCAAAAGCCUUUAUCACCUCUUACACAUACAUAAUCAGCUCUUUUAAUGNAUUUAGUACUUCAAGCAAAAUAUCUACAGAUUUAUUGCCAAUCUUAUAUGGUGCAUCUGCCUUACUUGUACCUGAAAACAUCAACCAUAACUUUUAGGCGCUACAUCUGACAUAAGCCUAUGCUUGUGCUUGUUACACCAGACUCGACAAGCUUUCUAAGGUUAUUUUCAAUGAUGAAAAUGACAGGGGCAUUUACGUCUUUUGUACAAACAAUUAAUUAAAUGUCAGUCUACGUCCCACCUUUUCAGGUAGAACAUAAAAACUUGAACAAUAUAGUACCAAUACUACGCCAUGCCGUAUAGUAACGGUGUACACUACUAGUGCUAUUGUACCAAAUACUAGUAUUAUUGUAUUUACAAUAAUACCGGUACUAUCUAUCUAUCUGGUAUAACAGCACUAGUGUUAUUGUAGCAAAUACUAGUACUGUGGUAAGUACUAUUGUACCGGUACUAUUUACAAUAGCAGUAGUGCUAUUGUAAAUACUAUCUAUCUAUCUAUCUGGUACAAUAGCAAUAGCACUAGUGCUAUUGUACCCGGUACAAGUACUGUGGUAAGUACUACUGUACCGGUACUAUUUACAAUAGCAGUAGUGCUAUUGUAAAUACUAUCUAUCUGGUACAAUAUUACAAGUACUGUGGUAAGUACUAUUGUACCGGUACUAUUUACAAUAGUAACGGUAUUAUCUAUCUACUAUCUAUCUGAUAUUCUGGUACAAUAUCAGGAAUACCGGUACUAUUGUAAAUAGUAUCUAUACCAGAGUAUUGAUGAAUGCCAAACACAGUACAGCUUUAUGAUGGGCCUAAAAGUUGUAAUAAAUUGUGGUAAAAUGCAAUACCUACAACUUGGACAAGUCUGUACAUAUCAUACUUCUGAUCACAACCAGAUAUUCUUAUUCUCACAAUUGAUCCAAUCACUUUUACACGAAACUCUUCACUAUUGUCAAUAAGAUUCUCCAUCAAUUUCCGGCGAAGGUAUAUUAAGUUCAUAUUAUGGACAUCAAUGGCAGCAUAGUCAUCCAAUUUAUUUUGUGGGACCCGGUCUUCACUCUUCUUGUGAUUUCUCCUUUUCUUAUCUUUACCCAAUGUCACCAUAUUUUCAAGAUUCCAAUCAGGGUCAACUUGUUUUCCAAUAUUCUUGAUUGUGUUCUUUGGGAGAUCUUCAUUUAUGAAAAAAUGAAACUCCAAAAGCUUUAACAUUUCAAAAUGACCAACACGUGGUUUCCCGAAAAGAAUCUUUAGCCUUGAAUCGCAUAGUAUUUGACUUUUCUUUCGUGGGUCCCGCAGAUUAUUUCUUUUUAUGUACUCUAACAUGAGUUCUUGAACAUCAAACUGAGAUAACAAUGAUGUAUCACCAUUCUUCAUAUGUGCAACAAAAUCUAAAAGCUCUUUAGUUGCCCAUUCUUUGCUUUCGUUAGCACCCGGUUUUUUCGUAAUUACAGUUUCCUUUUGGAUGUGUUCAUCUGUCUUUUGUCUUUUAGAUUCACUUGUCUCGAGAUUUUGAGGGGAAAUCUCAGGUGUAAGGCUUUUAAGAUCAUUGUCCCCAUUGUGUACACAUGUUGAUUGGCUAACUAAAGGGGUUGUUGUAUUAGCUCGUUUCCAUGGAUUUGUAGCUUGAGUAAGCUCAUCAAGAGUCAAAGAUAAUUUCCCUUUUAAAUAUAUCCAAUACACCUUAAAAAGAUACUCCCAACUAGUUUUGUCAUCAAAAUCCACCUGAGCCUGAAAAAAAAAAUUGUAAUUCUUGAAUUUAACCCAUUUUAGCAAGUAUUAUGGAGAUAUGAUGCUGCAUAGUGCAUACCUUCUCAUCCUUUUCUUGUCCAUUGUUUUCAAUCAGCAUGAUUGUUUUCAUGCACACUGUGCAAAAGCCUUUAUCACCUCUGACACAUACAUAAUCAGCUCUUUUAAUGCAUCCUUUGCACAAUGAAUAUGUACAAGUAUAGCACAUAUGAUGGGCUGCCUUCUGGCAUAUACUACAUAUAUGCCAACCUGAAAUUCAUUUCAACAUCAUUGCAACUUACUCAACUUCUUUUCACAAUUAUAUAGUUGAAUAGACAAUAUACAGACCAUAGUGAGUGAUUUUAUUCAGUAGAACCCCAUAUGCUAAGUUCUAACACAUCUGUUUUGAAAGAAAAACCCUUGUUUCACAUGACUAAGCAAUCAGAUAAUCAGAAUUCUAUGGGGUUACAGCAAGAUACAUAAAAAUAUAUAUUUU
rnacentral:lncRNA from 1 species